rnacentral:lncRNA from 1 species
UCAGAUUAACUAACUUCCAUCUCGUUUUUUUCUGCCCCACCCCCACCCCCUCCCAGUGUGGAUUCUUUAAGCGCUCUAGGUACGAUGACAGUGUUCCCCGAUACCAUGCGGUGCGGAUUCGGAAAGAAGAGCGAGAGAUCAACGACGAGAAACACACUGAUAACCCCGAAAAAAAGUGGCCCCCGAAGUGGAAUGAAAACGAAAGUUACUCAUAGAGGAGGGUGUAGGAAAGAAAGCCUCACUGCCCAAAGCCCCCCUUAUUUUUCCCAGCUCAGAAAUCCAGGUGACUUCAAAGCCUGCUCAGCGCCCCGUAUAUGAGACUGACUACACCCAGGACGGACCUACAGUUUCAACUGUGGAUAUUGUUACACCUCAGGCUCCUGUUUUGCACAGCCAAGUUUAAGACUAGUAGAGUGGAUUUUUCUUUAACUGCCUUAAUUUAACUUUCCGGAUUGCCUUGGUUUUUGAUGUGGCUGAUUUCCACACACUGGGGCAGGGCCUGCCCAUCUGCAUUCCCGGGACGUUCUCUCCCCGCCAUCAUCUGUGCUAACAGAGUGGCCAUUCCAGCCUGCUCCCACAGCAUCCUUCUCAUAAGACUGGAGAACCUGCAAGAUGAUGUUUCUUGGCUCAAGACUCUGCCAAUGGAUAGCUUUGCCUCUAUUGAAAGUUCUGUCUUAAAUUAAAUAUGCAGUAGAAGGUGUUGUUACCCUUUGGCCUUCUCUCUCCAUUUCCUAGAAGUGAGGACCCUUGCUGAUGCCAAAUGCACACAGGUUCCUGUCUCCCUUGUCACUAAGGCACAGGUUCGACAGACUUGAAUGCUAGUUACACUUGUUUGUAUAUGAUAUUUAUUUUUUCUUCAAGCCAUCUUGCUGUUGACUAGUAGGCCAAAGAUGCUUCAGGUUGAUUAAGCAAUGAGAAGAGAACCUGGGAGGUCGUUUUUUUUUGUUCUGACCUUAACUAUUUACUGC